GAAGCAGCCAUCAUUUAAAGAAAGCGUAAUAGCUCACUGGUCGAGUCGGCCUGCGCGGAAGAUGUAACGGGGCUAAACCAUGCACCGAAGCUGCGGCAGCGAACGUAUCACUUAAAGCGAUUCAGCGGGUUACGAUUGACGGAGCGAAGCGACGUCAAAGCGUAUACAAAGUCGAGUCGGUUUAAGGAUACGUUCGUUGGGUAGGGGAGCGUUCUGUAAGCCCGUGAAGGUGGCCUGUGAGGGUUGCUGGAGGUAUCAGAAGUGCGAAUGCUGACAUAAGUAACGAUAAAGCGGGUGAAAAGCCCGCUCGCCGGAAGACCAAGGGUUCCUGUCCAACGUUAAUC
rnacentral:rRNA from 1 species